UACGUAGGGCCCGAGCGUUGUCCGGAAUUAUUGGGCGUAAAGAGCUCGUAGGCGGUUUGUCGCGUCUGCUGUGAAAUCCCGAGGCUCAACCUCGGGCCUGCAGUGGGUACGGGCAGACUGGAGUGCGGUAGGGGAGAAUGGAAUUCCUGGUGUAGCGGUGAAAUGCGCAGAUAUCAGGAGGAACACCGGUGGCGAAGGCAGCUCGCUGGGACGUUACUGACGCUGAGACGCGAAAGCGUGGGGAGCAAACAGG
rnacentral:rRNA from 1 species